rnacentral:lncRNA from 1 species
CCCUGCCUUUCCCAUUUGCAGUUCCUCAAUGUCUCAGGUGAAAGUACAGGUCCAGUUCUUUCUUUGCCAGUUAGAUUUCAGUUCGGGUGAGUCCCUUAAUUGUUCUUGCUGUUUAUUGCUUUUGCGGCUGAAGGAUUGCUGAAAUCCAGCAUUCACCUGGACUUUCAGGAAGGCGAGGAAUGGACCAGAGGGGGCUGUGAUCACUGCCUGAAGUUAUGAAUGAGACCAGGCAAGCACCAGGCAAGUGCUGCUGAACCACACCCCAGCCCAUGGCCAGGUAGUCUUGAAGGACAGAAAGCCUGGCCUUUCCAGCUCUCUUCACUGACACAGAAGCACCGUGCACAAGUGUGCUGACUGGAAAGAUGUAAGACUAUAACACGCCGUCGUGUACACCUGUAGAUGGAUGAUCAGUCACUGAAAACCAGGUUGAAGAAUCUGUAGUGAAAUGGAGGCAGCUUGAUUUUUAGUCUGUAAAAGUAACACCGAUCUACAUGUGUCAAGGGAAAAGAGUGGAAGUUUAAAUGUCAAUAGGCUAUUGCUGAGGCUGGGGUUGUGGCUCAGUGGUAGAGCACUUGCCUAGCAUGUGUGAGGCACUGGGUUCGAUUCUCAGCACCACAUAUAAGUAAAUGUAUAAAAUAAAGGUCCAUCAAAAUCUUAUUUUUUAUUUUAAAGGCUAGGGGUUGGGGUUGUAGCUAGAGCACUUGCCUAGCAUGUGUGAGGCACUGGGUUCGAUUCUCAGUACCAUAUAUCCAUAUAUAAUAAAUAAAAUAAAGGUCACGGACAAUUAAAAUAAUUUUUUUAAAAAAGGCUAAUGCUGUCUCCCUUUUGAGUGGCUAAGUCGCAGGUGCCAGUGUUUCUGGGACAGACUGCCUGGGUGGAUUCAAGUAAUUCACAUGUAAUCACCCACUCUGUGCCUCAGUCUCCUCAUCUCCUAAUAAUAAUGGCACCAGAUUUGUUAAAUAUCACAGACUUGUCAGAGAAACCAGAAACAGAAGAUUUUGAAAAGGACAGGAAAAAAUUUAUUCAUAGAGAGUGCAAAAGAGUCAGACUUCAGGACUGACUCUCCAAAUACAAAAAUAUAACAGUAGCAUUUAAAACUGACAAAUAUGUCAAAUUACUAAGGCUACUAUGGUGGGUUGAAUGGUGGUCCCCAAAAGAUAUGUCCGUGCCCUAACUCUAA